AGACCUUUAGCUCGGGUGGUCAGAGCAGACGGCUCAUAACCGUCCGAUCAUAGGUUCGAGUCCUAUAAGGUCCA
rnacentral:tRNA from 1 species